CAAGAGAAUAUGAUGACUACCCUGGAGGCCUUACGGACUGGCCGAUCUGUGGCAAACAUGACUCGGGAGGUUUUUCACACCAUCUCCCCUCCCGUGGCUGGCUAGACUGCUUCUCCUACUCCUGCUUCUUCCCGAGCACUGAUGUCUGCCUCCAAGGGCUCCCAUUCUGCAGCCUCCAAGGCUUUCACCCAAGGCAGGACCCCGGGCUCUUCUAAGUCUCCUACAACUCUGAGGCUUAAAUCGACCUCUAGUCUAGCUUCUCGGGAGCCCAUAACCAUCCAGGAGUCCACGAAAAGUGAUUCUAAAGUAAAGGCCAAGGUCGC
rnacentral:lncRNA from 1 species